rnacentral:rRNA from 1 species
AUACGGAGGGGGUUAGCGUUGUUCGGGAUUACUGGGCGUAAAGCGCACGUAGGCGGAUUAGUAAGUUAGAGGUGAAAUCCCAGGGCUCAACCCUGGAACUGCCUUUAAUACUGCUAGUCUUGAGUUCGAGAGAGGUAAGUGGAAUUCCGAGUGUAGAGGUGAAAUUCGUAGAUAUUCGGAGGAACACCAGUGGCGAAGGCGGCUUACUGGCUCGAUACUGACGCUGAGGUGCGAAAGUGUGGGGAGCAAACAGGAUUAGAUACCCUGGUAGUCCACACCGUAAACGAUGGAUACUAGUUGUUGGGAUUUAUCUCAGUGACUAAGCGAAAGUGAUAAGUAUCCCACCUGGGGAGUACGGUCGCAAGACUGAAACUCAAAGGAAUUGACGGGGGCCCGCACAAGCGGUGGAGCAUGUGGUUUAAUUCGAAGCAACGCGCAGAACCUUACCAACCCUUGACAUCCUGUGCUACUACCAGAGAUGGUACGUUCCCCUCGGGGACGCAGUGACAGGUGCUGCAUGGC